AUUGAACGCUGGCGGCAUGCCUUACACAUGCAAGUCGAACGGCAGCACGGGAGCAAUCCUGGUGGCGAGUGGCGAACGGGUGAGUAAUAUAUCGGAACGUGCCCAGUCGUGGGGAUAACGUAGCGAAAGCUACGCUAAUACCGCAUACGAUCUAUGGAUGAAAGCGGGGGAUCGCAAGACCUCGCGCGAUUGGAGCGGCCGAUAUCAGAUUAGGUAGUUGGUGAGGUAAGGCUCACCAAGCCGACGAUCUGUAGCUGGUCUGAGAGGACGACCAGCCACACUGGGACUGAGACACGGCCCAGACUCCUACGGGAGGCAGCAGUGGGGAAUUUUGGACAAUGGGCGCAAGCCUGAUCCAGCAAUGCCGCGUGCAGGAUGAAGGCCUUCGAGUUGUAAACUGC
rnacentral:rRNA from 1 species